UAUUUUAAUAGCUUAUUUAAGAGUGUAAUAUUGAAGAUAUUAAGGAGAUUUUAAUCUUAAAAUA
rnacentral:tRNA from 1 species